AACGAACGCUGGCGGCAUGCCUAACACAUGCAAGUCGAACGAGACCUUCGGGUCUAGUGGCGCACGGGUGCGUAACGCGUGGGAACCUGCCCUUAGGUUCGGAAUAACUCCCCGAAAGGGGUGCUAAUACCGGAUAAUGUCUUCGAACCAAAGAUUUAUCGCCUUUGGAUGGGCCCGCGUUGGAUUAGCUAGUUGGUAGGGUAAAAGCCUACCAAGGCGACGAUCCAUAGCUGGUCUGAGAGGAUGAUCAGCCACACUGGGACUGAGACACGGCCCAGACUCCUACGGGAGGCAGCAGUGGGGAAUAUUGGACAAUGGGCGAAAGCCUGAUCCAGCAAUGCCACGUGAGUGAUGAAGGCCUUAGGGUUGUAAAGCUCUUUUACCCGGGAUGAUAAUGACAGUACCGGGAGAAUAAGCUCCGGCUAACUCCGUG
rnacentral:rRNA from 1 species